AGUGAACGCUGGCGGUAGGCCUAACACAUGCAAGUCGAACGGCAGCACAGAGGAGCUUGCUCCUUGGGUGGCGAGUGGCGGACGGGUGAGGAAUACAUCGGAAUCUACUCUGUCGUGAGGGAUAACGUAGGGAAACUUACGCUAAUACCGCAUACGACCUACGGGUGAAAGCAGGGGACCUUCGGGCCUUGCGCGAUUGAAUGAGCCGAUGUCGGAUGAGCUAGUUGGCGGGGUAAAGGCCCACCAAGGCGACGAUCCGUAGCUGGUCUGAGAGGAUGAUCAGCCACACUGGAACUGAGACACGGUCCAGACUCCUACGGGAGGCAGCAGUGGGGAAUAUUGGACAAUGGGCGCAAGCCUGAUCCAGCCAUACCGCGUGGGUGAAGAAGGCCUUCGGGUUGUAAAGCCCUUUUGUUGGGAAAGAAAUCCAGCUGGCUAAUACCCGGUUGGGAUGACGGUACCCAAAGAAUAAGCACCGGCUAACUUCGUGCCAGCCGCCGCGGUAA
rnacentral:rRNA from 1 species